GACGAACGCUGGCGGCGUGCUUAACACAUGCAAGUCGAACGGAAAGGCCCUGCUUUUGUGGGGUGCCCGAGUGGCGAACGGGUGAGUAACAAGCGAGUAACCUGCCCUCCACUUUGGGAUAAACUCGGGAAACUGGGGCUAAUACCGGAUAGGAGCACCGUGUGCAUGGUGUGGGGGGGAGAUUUUCGGCGGUUGGGGGUGGACUCGCGGCAUAGCAGCUUGGUGGUGGGGUUGUGGCGUACCAAGGCGUUGACGGGUAGCCGGCCUGAGAGGGUGAGCGGGCACAGUGGGACUGAGGAGCGGCCCGGACUGCUACGGGAGGCAGCAGUGGGGGAUUGUGGACGAUGGGCGGAAGCCUGAAGCAGCGACGCCGCGUGGGGGAUGACGGCCUUCGGGGUGUAAACCCCUUUCGGCGAUGACGGAGAGGGAGUGACGGUAAUGGGAGAAGAAGCACCGGCUAACUACGUG
rnacentral:rRNA from 1 species